rnacentral:rRNA from 1 species
UACGUAGGUGGCAAGCGUUGUCCGGAUUUACUGGGCGUAAAGAGCGCGCAGGCGGUCGUUCAAGUCGCGUGUGAAAGCCCCCGGCUCAACUGGGGAGGGUCACGCGAUACUGAUCGACUCGAAGGCAGGAGAGGGUAGUGGAAUUCCCGGUGUAGUGGUGAAAUGCGUAGAUAUCGGGAGGAACACCAGUGGCGAAGGCGGCAUCCUGGACCGACACUGACGCUGAGGAGCGAAGGCCAGGG